CGUUCACUCCCAGACGCUUGAUUUUUAUCGGUGGUUAGCUGAACGCUUGAAUCAAAUGUAAACAAUAUGGCGAACCGCUAUUUCGCACUGACGGUGGUGCAGUUGAAGAAGGAGCUUGCCUGUAGAAACGCCACGACGCAAGGAAGGAAGAUAGAUUUAGUUAGACGAUUAGAAGCAUAUGACAGAAAUGCCAAUUUCCAGCAGCCACCUGUUCUGUUACCAGAUCCUUUGGACGUAAACUGGCCUACAACAGGAUUCCAACAACUCAAUUCAGAACACAGGAAAUUACUACCUUCCAUUACAAGGGAACAGAUAGAAGCCUAUUUUCUCCAUAGACUUGCUGGAGAUAAUGAAGCGGCAUGUGAUAUCAAGGCAGUUAAGAAUGGGGAACUAUUGUACCAAUCCGAGAGAGUUUUGGCAUGCUCAGUUAUCAUUGAAAAUGAUGUAUUUUUUACUGGAAUAGUCAGUGCAGCCAUGAAAAAUAAGGUCACAUACAGCUAUAAACUAAGGCUGGAGAAAGAAUCUGGAGAUGUGCUAAACUCACACUGUGAAUGCCCUGCAGGGAAAGGCCCAAAUGGUACAUGAAAGCACCUAGCUGCUUGCAUGAUUAUGCUUGAACAUUUUAUUGAGAAUGGUGAAGUGGCGGUGCAGAAAUCAUGUACAGAAAAUUUGAUGAUGUUCAACAAGCCAAAGGCAUCCCAUAAAGGAUCUCCAGUCAAAGUUGAAAAAAUUACAAUUGGGAAGAGAAAAUCAGCGGUUCAUUUGGAUGACCCACGACCAGAAAAGUUUAGGAAUGUAGAGGGCAUGCAAGAUCGGGUCAGAAACCUAUUAAUCAACUAUACAUCAAAUACUUCUGAAGACAUUGCAUUUCGUUAUCUUUAUGAGAGAGCAGAUUUGAAGUCUGCAAUUCUUAUCACUGCCUUUCACAGAAUACUGGGUGGAUAAAGCAUUACAGGUAACUGAAUCAGAGGUGGCAAGUAUUGAAAAAGAAACAAGGGGACAAUCUACAAAUAAGAGAUGGUUUGCAGAGAGAAUGUGGAGAAUCACAGCAUCAAAUUUUGGGCAGAUUUCAAGAAUGACAGACAGACGUAACAAACAGAAGCUUUGUAAAUCAUUGAUAUCUAUCAAGAGCCUCACCACCCCCGCAGUCACUCAUGGAAAAUCAUAUGAAAAAAAAGCAAUCAAAAAGUUUGAAGAUAACCACAACAUAAGAGUUCAUGAGAAUGGUUUAUUCAUUUGUUCAAAAAUGCCAUUUCUAGGUGCAACACCAGAUGGCGUUAUAGAUGAUAAAUAUAUAAUAGAGGUGAAAUGUCCUUAUAAAGGGCGGAAACAAGAAAUCAACACAAACACAAUGGAAUAUUUCACUUAUUUAGAGGUAGUGGGUGGGGAAAUCAAGCUGAAAAUAUCUUCCAAUUACUAUGAUCAAAUUCAGGGACAACUGUAUAUAAGUGGCAGACAAUUUUGUUAUUUUAUUGUGUAUACACUAAAGUCACUAUUUGUAGAAAUUAUUGAAAUCAACAGAGAAUACUGUGAAAUGUGCCUUAUACCAAAACUGGAGUCGUUUUAUACAAAACAUUACAGACCUUUCAUUGCCUCAAAUUUAUAAAUGAUUGCAAAUUAGGCCAAUUAAAGUUAAUUGAUAGAUUAUCAUCCCCACCCGCCCCUCAAAAAAGGGCCCAUCCCGAUUUUUUUAAUGCAAAAAUUAUGAUUUCAAACAAACUUGCUUCCCAGUGACAUGAGUGAAUGAUUAAAGUCACAGAAUGUUGUUUUAUAUAUAUAUAUAUUCUACCAAGGAAUCUUUGAAUUCCUUACUUGAUUAACACUUUGUGUGAUGUCUGUUUUCAUUAAUUUUUUUUUCUCAGGAAAUAAAAAUUCAAAAAUUAUAUUCUCCCACCCGCCCCAUUUUUUUUUUUUUACCCCAGAUGGUAAUCUACUAAUUAGGUUGAAUUGGCCUUACUUUGAAACCACCUCCUUCUGUACUACUUAAAUGUAUGCUACAAAUGAAACAAUAUAUUUCCAUAAAAUUGACUACAUGUUGUGAAGUAUUGCAGGGAACACUUCAGAUUGCCUAAUAAAAUUGCCCCCAAUAUGUAAUCUGAAAUUUUGGACUUUUCAUUAUGUCAAUAUGGUGUGAUAUAUUCUAAAUUUAAAAAUAUUAACCAAGGCAAUAGCUUGGAUCAGUAUUUUCAAACUGAGUAAAUAUCAGAAUAGAGAGAAAUUUUAUGAUGGUGAAUAUCUUACAAUGCUAACAAGCAUAUCUUAUAUGAAUUAUAUUUAGAUAAGUAAAUGCUAGUGUCACUACCUUCAUAUAUAUAUUAUUCAUAUAUGUAUGAAUUCAAUAAAACCAAUUGUCGAGGACUGAUCAACAUAAAAUGUGAUUAAUUCACAAGAAAUGAUAAGAAUUGAGAAAAUCUGUUUAAAACUGCACAUCAUCAUUUAGCCUCUUUUGCUUUAAUAUCAUCACAACUUAUGCAAAUUUAUCUACAAUUGACCUUCUAAAAUUGCUUAGCACAAAGCAGAUAUAAAUGAUUCGGGAUCCAAGCUGAAUUUUGCUGUGACUAAGUUCAUUCUUUAGAAUUUUAAAACGUUUUGCCAGACCAAUGACCCUUUCUACAUGUAUGCGUUUUGAAGCUACACGUCGAUCAUGUACUACU